CAGUCGCCGCGGUAAUACGAAGGGGGCUAGCGUUGUUCGGAAUUACUGGGCGUAAAGCGCACGUAGGCGGAUCGAUCAGUCAGGGGUGAAAUCCCAGGGCUCAACCCUGGAACUGCCUUUGAUACUGUCGAUCUGGAGUAUGGAAGAGGUGGGUGGAAUUCCGCGUGUAGCAGUGAAAUGCGUAGAUAUGCGGAGGAACACCGAUGGCGAAGGCAGCCCCCUGGGCCAAUACUGACGCUCAUGCACGAAAGCGUGGGGAGCAAACAGGAUUAGAUACCCCGGUAGUCCCCUGUCUCUUAUA
rnacentral:rRNA from 1 species